UCACGGCGUUGUGUGGGUGCAGACGACUUCUAAUCAUGCAGACGACAGAACCGAAUGACAGCAUCGCGGCCAUUUUGUUUGCGCGGACGCAUUCAAGGAAUGACCACAGUAAUGGAAAAACGUGGUGAAAAACACAGUGAGCAUUGAUCAUACUGUGACUCUAGAAAACAAGGUUAUAACAAGGUGUCUUCAACGGCCCGGAUAGCUCAGUCGGUAGAGCAUCAGACUUUUAAUCUGAGGGUCCAGGGUUCAAGUCCCUGUUCGGGCGGUAAUUUUUUGUCCUAACUUACCUCAUAAUCUCUCAGUCAUAAAGCAUGCUAUUUAACGAUCACAAAGUAGUUACAUUGUAUGUUACGUCGCCAAUAUCACACAUCGACAGUAACAGUAGUUGAGAAAUGUUUAUACAUAAAUAUCUCUAGUUAUUAACAAUACUUUAUUCUUAUCGAUACAUACUUAUACCUACAAAUCUAUUGAAUAACGCUGCGAAUCACAAAAUUACAGGCAGGACCAAUUAUAAAAA